rnacentral:rRNA from 1 species
GGGAAGAGCUCAAAUUUGAAAGCUGGUACCUUCGGUAUCCGCGUUGUAACCUCGAGACACGUUUUCCGUGCGGCGCUAUGGACAAGUUCCUUGGAACAGGACAUCGUAGAGGGUGAAAAUCCCGUACUUGCCAUGGAUGUACCGUGCUUUGCGAUACGUGCUCUAAGAGUCGAGUUGUUUGGGAUUGCAGCUCAAAAUGGGUGGUAGACUCCAUCUAAAGCUAAAUAUCGGGGAGAGACCGAUAGCGAACAAGUACCGUGAGGGAAAGAUGAAAAGCACUUUGGAAAGAGAGUUAAAAGUACGUGAAAUUGUCGAAAGGGAAGCGCUUGAAGUCAGCCAUGCCGCUCAGGACUCAGCCUGGCUUUUGCUUGGUGUAUUUCCUGGGUAGCAAGUCAGCAUUGGUUUGGAUCGUCGGAGAAGCAUAGUCGGAAUGUGGCGCCCUCGGGCGUGUUAUAGCCUUCUAUUGGAUACGACGAUCUAGACCAAGGAACGCAGCGCGCCUUAUGGCGGGUCUUCGGACACCUUCGCGCUUAGGAUGCUGGCGUAAUGGCUUUAAGUGGCCCGUCUUG